GCGCCUGUAGUGAAAUGGAUAUCACAAGAGCCUCCGAAGCUCUUAAUCCGGGUUCAAAUCCCGGCGGGCGCA
rnacentral:tRNA from 4 species